AUUGAACGCUGGCGGCAGGCCUAACACAUGCAAGUCGAGCGAGCGGCGGACGGGUGAGUAAUGUCUGGGGAACUGCCUGAUGGAGGGGGAUAACUCCUGGAAACGGUAGCUAAUACCGCAUACCAUCAGAUGUGCCCAGAUGGGAUUAGCGAGUAGGUGGGGUAAUGGCUCACCGAGGCGACGAUCCAUAGCCGGGCUGAGAGGAUGACCCGCCACACUGGACAUGAGACACGGGCCAGACGCCUACGUGAGGCAGCAGUGGGGAAUAUUGGACAAUGGGCGCAAGCCUGAUGCAGCCAUGCCGCGUGUGGGAAGAAGGCCUUCGGGUUGUAAAGCACUUUCAGCGGGGAGGCGUUACCCGCAGAAGAAGCACCGGCUAACUCCGUGCCAGCCGCCGCGGUAAUAC
rnacentral:rRNA from 1 species